rnacentral:rRNA from 3 species
UUUUGACCUCAAAUCAGGUAGGACUACCCGCUGAACUUAAGCAUA